rnacentral:rRNA from 1 species
GAUGAACGCUAGCGGCAGGCUUAAUACAUGCAAGUCGAGGGGCAGCGGGGGUAGCAAUACCUGCCGGCGACCGGCAAACGGGUGCGGAACACGUACGCAACCUUCCCAGAACUGGUGAAUAGCCCUCCGAAAGGAGGAUUAAUACACCGUACCAUAUGGAUGUGGCAUCACAACCAUAUUAUAGUAGCAAUACGGUUCUGGAUGGGCGUGCGGCUGAUUAGGUAGUUGGCGGGGUAACGGCCCACCAAGCCUUCGAUCAGUAACUGGUGUGAGAGCACGACCAGUCACACGGGCACUGAGACACGGGCCCGACUCCUACGGGAGGCAGCAGUAAGGAAUAUUGGUCAAUGGGACGCAAGUCUGAACCAGCCAUGCCGCGUGAAGGGAUGAAGGCCCUCUGGGUUGUAAACUUCUUUUAUCUGGGACGAAAAAGGGCAUUCUUGCUCACUUUGACGG